GCGAGACCCAACCGGAAGUCCGUCACAGCUCUUGGCUAAAAGUCCUACCUCGCCUCUGAGGUGCCAGACACAGUGAGUUCUGGAUGCAGUGUUCAAGCUGCCUCAAACUCUUGCCAUGAGGACUCCUCUACCCCGAGGUGAACUGCGCCCAGGAACUUCGAACCUUAAGUGGCUUUCAUCAGGACCUGAGCUCCGAUGGCUCUAGCAUCACUGUUUCCUGGACAAGGCCACGACUCUGAAGGGGCCGGGGGCACAUGCUGGUCUGUAGACAAACACUUCCUGGGAUAAAGAAGACUCAGGACUGAGGACACAGUGCCCAGGCAGACAGCCCAGAAAUGUGCAGCCUUUACUUUCUGUGGGAGGAUGCUUGCAGGCAAGGAGAAACUUUCAGUUCACCAGCCCACCUCAGCCUCAGGGUGGGUGGACUGCCCCAGCAAAACAGUCAAAGUUGCCAAUUCAACUGCAAGCCUUGGAGCGUACUCCUUGUCCUCAGAAGAAAGGGAGGCUGUUGGCCGUUCACGCCGGUGACGGGGGCUUGAACCCAGGAUCUUGGACUCGAGAGGCAAAUGCUCUACCGCUAAGCCGUGCUCCUGGCUAUGAAAUAUACUUCGAGUUUACAUUUCAAUUAUGUAUUUCACACAUAAAUCAGGUUUUUG
rnacentral:sRNA from 1 species